rnacentral:rRNA from 1 species
UACGAAGGGGGCUAGCGUUGUUCGGAAUCAUUGGGCGUAAAGCGCGUGUAGGCGGCUCGAUAAGUCUGCUGUGAAAGUCCAGGGCUCAACCCUGGGAUGCCGGUGGAUACUGUCGAGCUCGAGUCCGGAAGAGGCGAGUGGAAUUCCUGGUGUAGCGGUGAAAUGCGCAGAUAUCAGGAGGAACACCAAUGGCGAAGGCAGCUCGCUGGGACGUGACUGACGCUGAGACGCGAAAGUGUGGGGAGCGAACAGG